UCUGGAUGGCUUGAACUAAGUGACCUGAUUCUUCCAGAUUUAGGCAAGGAGGCACCCUCUCCUCACGGCCGCACAGACUCAGGCUCAGGGCUGCCCACCCUGUCCAGUUAGCAGCGCCCUGUCUCCCAUCCCUAGGUCCAGCCUAGCGUAAUUUUUGCCACAGAGCAGAUGUUCAAGAAAUAGCAGCUGAAUGGAUGGUAGUUUCCUGAAUUAGGAAAAAUCGUGCCCUAUUUUUUCCCAAGUUACCACUACAUUAUCUUUGAGGGGGCUGGCAAGAUGGCUUAGUGGGUAAAGGCUCUUGCUGCCAAGCCUGAAGACCUGUGCUUGAUUCCUGGAAGUCACAACAUGGAAGAUUUUCAAGAUUAAACUUACUGCAUUGCCCAGAAGUAAAGCUGUGCUUCGUGGGCACAGGCAAGGCUGCUGGCCUCUACUGCUGUGGAUCUGUGCACACAAUGUGUUCUAAGCAAGUUUCUCAUAGCUUUGUGGCUCAAGCAGACCUGUGUCCUGAUCACCCCCUAGUAACCUCACUAUUGUGGAAGAGUUCCCUGGCUUAAAUAGUGUGAUAUGGUGGAACCCCAUAUCUCCACACCAGACAGGACUGAGACGCUGAGCCUGGAACUGCACUAAGCCUUGGGAGAAAAGGACUCAUCUAGGGUAAGUACAAGUGCACAUCGUCCAGGAAAGCCUGACCUUGAAUCCCCAGAGGCUCCUACCUUGCAGUAGCUGUGUACCUAGGUUUCUGGCCCAAGCCUUCAGCUACACAGCAUUAGUAUGGAAGGGGAGGCCUACAGAUUGUCCUGUCUCUCAGCGUUCUUAAGAUCACAAGGUAGGUAUGGGUGUGCACAGUGUCUGUCUGGCACUCUGAUGAGGUAGGUCGAAUGCCACAUGGGUUUGUGGAUUGUUAUUGAACCACAGGGAGUGUGAAAAACCCCAUGUUCUCGCACAAAAAGAAAACCCUGCAUAGGCAUCAUUUGAAGGACAUUUUUAUUGUUGAAAUGGAUAAGGCCACAUACUAGGACAACUAGAACAUAGUUUUGUACAUUGAGGUUAUUGAACAGAGUCCAGAGUCUGUGGUGAGGGGAGGCUACUUGCUUGGAGAUGCAAUUCCAGACAUGAGAGGAGUGUUCAAUGUUGCCACCAUUUGGGGUGAACACUACAGGUUCCACUCAUCUACCUAGUUCAUUCUAGUGAAGAACAGAUUGGUCUACUGUAAAUCUUUUACUCCUGAGGGUCCAUCAUGUAGUUAUCUGGAAGGAUCUGGGCAGUCUGAGCAGGGAGGUGGCUUCUUCUUGCUGGGUGGUGGCUCACUCCCCAUGACUGUCUUCUGAAGUGGAGGAGACCUGAAUGCCCUCAUAGAGGACAGUGCAUGGGGGUGAGAGUGGGCACCAUCCUCUUUCUCCUGAGAGACAGGGGUCUCAGGAGGAGAUGUUUGCUGCUCAAUAGCCAGAUCCGGGACCACUCUCAAGAAACUGGACGACCACCAAUCUCCAUGGAGUCUGGUGAAGAUCAUCCUCAGAGAGAGGACACAAACUACAGAAUGGCUUUCAACACCAAACAGUUGAUUCUUUGAACCUGCAAUGGUCAAGAAUCCGUGAGAGAGGCAAGGGUGAUGAUAGUGAGCCCUCUCUCAGCCAGAGGACCACUCCUGUGGAAUAGGAGCUCACCUACUUCCCAGUCUCUCCCUGUAGGUCCCCUAGCCUGCCUCUCUGCCCUGGUCAGGGUCACAGAUCAAUGGGACAAAUGGAAGAGGGACAGGGCUGGAGACCACACAUGACCCCCAGAUAUCAGCAUAACUGACUGCAAUGGAAACACCAAUUCAGGCCACAGCACUCAGCCAACUGACGCUACCGGGUGACCAAAUAGAGACAAAUAAAAUGUAAAUGAAAAAAAACCAAUCAAUCCAAACAAAGGUACAGAUGAAUUGUAAACCACUAUGAGAUGCACCAAUAAAGUAUAAGCCAAGAUUUAAUCCUUCCAAGUCCAUAGUUCCGGGACGGCCGGUAAAUGGACUCCACUUGCCCUUGCUUAGGACUUACUGCUUUCUGUGAAAUGAAGUAUGUCAAGCCAGAAUGUGGUGUCUGUGCUUCAAAGCUCACCCUGAGAUAGGCUCAGUGAUCCACCGUAAUAGAGACCACACAGCACAUACCCUGCCAGGCUGCUAAUAAUACCAUUCUCCUUGCUUAAAGGCAGGUCUGAACAGUCUUCCCUGAUGCAUAACCCAGAGCACAAAGAUUCUGACCCAAAGCCCAAAGUCAUGUCUCACCCAGCCCCAGUGGCUGCUGACACAUAUAAAAGUCCACUUACCCUAGGGUUCUCCUCCUCCGGUGGGGGAACCUUCAGAGCCAUGGGCCCUGUGGGAUUCCUCUGGGCUCUUUGGGCUGGAGUGGCUCUUGGGCCCCGAAUCAGCAUGUGUGUCUCCUGACUCAUGGCUGAGUGUGAGUCAAUCACCCGCAGGUGUUGUCGGCCUGGAUUGGCUGAAUGGAAGCAAAGAACAGAGCUUUAACCAAUGAAAUGAAACUUCACGACAUCACAAAAGUAUGGGGCUGCUAGUGGCCAUCACACAAUGAUCCCCUUUCUGUGUUUUGACCUCCCAAGCACAUUCAAAUAGGUGGGGAUGUCAGUCCUGGAAGUUGAAACAUUCUUGGCCCAUUUCCCUCCCAGGACGAUUAAUGCCGUCCAAAGCAGUUCAAGAUCGCCAUUCAACAGAUAGAGUGACACCUGACACACCAAAAUCCCUAUGGUAAACCCUACACGCACCCCAUCACACUCCUCUGUUCCUUAGCAAUCACCUCAGGAAAAAUAUGGUAAGGACUCCCACCAGAGAGCUUGCUGUCCUCCCUUGGUCUAUGCAGCAGGUUCUGUGAAUUGUGCUCACUCCAGGCAGGAGCUGCUUUCAGGAGGCUGGCUCAAGUGGGACUGGAGCCGCAAUGGUUCUGCGGUUUCUUAUAAGGUCUGUGAAGUCUUGCAAUCCAAUCCCGAGAUCUCAUUGGGAGGAAAUCCGGAAUGUGAGGAAUGAAGGAGGACACACCCUUUAAUCCGCAACUCCACUGGGAAAGCCCCUCUUCUAAACUGGGCCUGAAUCUUUCAUGGCUUUGUUAGUGAGAGGCUCUGUGAGGCUGCAGGACCAUGGACAGGGCCCCAAAGGGCAAAUUCCACUUCCAACCCAGCAGCACCUUGAAGCCAGGGCUCAAGGCAUCUACAGGAAAGUAUUUCAACACAGUGAAGCCGUACACCGUGUGGAUGGCCAACCCAUCCAUGUUUUUGGAUGGCUGUGCUUUACACAGACAUGUCUAGACAUUCCACCUUCUAUGCAUGGAGAGAAGGUGGAAAUCUGUCUGGCCAGCCCGUGCACAACAAACCUUCAUUGUGGCCACCUUGACAUCUAAUUCUUGGGAUCUAAUCCAAAUAGGUAAGCAUGGAGAUACUUCUCAAUCUCCAAA